rnacentral:rRNA from 1 species
GGCCGCAGUAAUUUGACUGCGCAAAGGCAGCAUAAUCAUUAGUUUUUUAAUUAAAAGCUCGUAUGAAUGAUUGGACGAGAUAAAUUCUGUCUUAAAGUAAUAAAUAGAAUUUAAUUUUUAAGUUAAAAAGCUUAAAUUUUUAUAAAAGACGAGAAGACCCUAUAGAUCUUUAUUUAAUUGAUAUUAUUAUUAAUAAGGAUUAUUUUAUUUAUUAGUUUUAAUUAAAUUUUAUUGGGGUAAUAAAAAGAUACAAUAAAUUCUUUUAUAAAAUUACAAAGAUUAUUGAUUUUAGGAUCCUUAUAUUAAGAUUGCAAGAUUAAGUUACCUUAGGGAUAACAGCGUAAUUUCUUUGGAGAGUUCAUAUUGAUAAAGAUGUUUGCGACCUCGAUGUUGGAUUAAAAGUUAUUUUAGGUGCAGUAGUUUAAAAUUUUGGUCUGUUCGACCAUUAAACUUUUACAUGAUCUGAGUUCAAACCGGUGUAAGCCAGGUUGGUUUCUAUCUUUAUUAUGAUAAAAUAUUUUAGUACGAAAGGACCA